ACCGCCGUAGGACCUAAGAUUGAUGCUGGAGAGGUUCUUCAGACCCUGCGUUCUGACGGCUCCGCUGGCACCACCCAGACGGGUAAACUAGCUCUUCCGGUCUGUGGCCCUCACAGGAACCGACUCGGUGCAGGAGGACAGCUUCAGCCCCUGUGAUUUCAUCCCCGACCAACCAGCCAGCACUCCCCACUCCCUAGCCCCCUGCCUGCCAAACUAUCUUUUAAAAAACUCCAGUUUCCAAAUUUUCAGGGAGGCUGAUUUGAGUAAUAAUAAAACUCCAGUCUCCUGCUAGCUGGCUCUGGAUGCACUAGACUCUAUUGCAAUUCUCCUGUCCUGAUAAAUCGGCUGUCAGGCAAGAAGAACCCGUUGGGUGGUUACAGUUUCAAGGCUAUAUUCAGAGAACUAUCCACUAAUAAAAUCUCUGUUUAUGCAGUAGGUCCCACCCCACACCCUCCCUGCUCAAACUGCUGCAAUCCCGGCACAGCUUUGUUGACAAUGUACCCAUCAGCCAACAAAAUGUAACAAAAUGCACUUUCUUUUAGUUAUCUCCUGCUACGUAAUAAACUUCCCCGGGAGGUGGAGGUUGCCAUGAGCCGAGAUUGCACCAUUGCACUCCAGCCUGGGCAACAAGAGCAAGACUCCGUCUCAAAAAUAAAUAAAUAAAUAAAUAAAUAAGCCUCCCCGGAGCUUGAUGGCCUAAAUAGCAAUCUACCGUGAGUGCUCAGGGCUCUGGAGUUGACUGGGCUGCGCUGGGUGCUUCCUGCCUAGGGUCUCCAGUGUGGUUGCAGCAAAUGCAGGCUGGAGCUGUCCAGCAUCUCUUUCUGAGUAGCCUCUCCACGCUCAGCUUGGACCCCCUCACAGCAUGGCUGCCAGGGUCAUCAAGCUUCUUGGCAGGCAGCUGGCCUCCCCUAGGACAAAUCCCACAAAGCUGAGGCAGGAGUUCCAGGGCUACUAAGACGCCGUCUCAGAGUCACAGUCUGCCACCUCCAGCUCAUGCCACUGGCUACACAGGCCCAGAGUCCGUGCGUCUGGGGAGGCACCAUCCUGAGAAGCCAUCUUACGAGUGAGAAGUGGGUGCCAGGAAAUGGGGUGCCACCAUGAUUAGCACCCCAAAUAUGUGCUGUCACCUUUGGAGUCACGCAGAACCUGGGGGCCUCCAGGAGUCUACGGGGGAUGGUGGGAAGGCUGGGGAGGAGGAUGGGAAGGAGACCCCCGCUGAGGGCAGGCGG
rnacentral:lncRNA from 1 species